rnacentral:tRNA from 1 species
AGUCCUGUAGCUCAGUGGUUAGAGCACUUGCCUUGUAAGCAAAAGACCUGGGUUCAAUUCCCAACAGGGUGA